UGGGGAAUAUUGGACAAUGGGCGGAAGCCUGAUCCAGCAACGCCGCGUGAGGGAUGACGGCCUUCGGGUUGUAAACCUCUUUCAGUACCGACGAAGCGCCGAUGAUGGUGGUGACGGUAGGUACAGAAGAAGCACCGGCCAACUACGUGCCAGCAGCCGCGGUAAUACGUAGGGUGCGAGCGUUGUCCGGAAUUAUUGGGCGUAAAGGGCUCGUAGGCGGUUGUCGCGUCGGGGGAGUGAAAACACCGGGCUUAACUCGGUGCUUGCUUUCGAUACGGGCAGACUAGAGGCAUGCAGGGGAGAACGGAAUUCCUGGUGUAGCGGUGAAAUGCGCAGAUAUCAGGAGGAACACCGGUGGCGAAGGCGGUUCUCUGGGCAUGUCCUGACGCUGAGGAGCGAAAGUGUGGGGAGCGAACAGGAUUAGAUACCCUGGUAGUCCACACCGUAAACGUUGGGCGCUAGGUGUGGGAUCCAUUCCACGGGUUCCGUGCCGCAGCUAACGCAUUAAGCGCCCCGCCU
rnacentral:rRNA from 1 species